rnacentral:SRP_RNA from 1 species
GCCAGGUGCAGUGGCUUGCACCUGUAGUCCCAACUACUCAGGAGGCUGAGAGGGGAGGAUCACUUGAGCUCAGGAGUUCGAGGCUGCAGUGAGCCGAGAUCGCACCACUGCACUCCUGCCUGGGUGACAGAGUGAGACCCUGUCUCAA